GUCACGGUGGAAAAUAAUAUAAAGGUAAGUGAAGAAGAAGUCAAGGAGUUGCAGUUUUAAAGGGUUCACAAGAUUGAAAAAAGAGGGGCACGACUCUAAUAUUUACCUUAUUUUAUUUUAUCAUUUCGUAAGUAUUAUCAUAUGCAAUAUCAUCAUAGAGUUUAACAUUCUCUGUGAUGAUCAUAGAAUUCUUAAUCCUCUCUAGUUCUUAUUUUUUCAUGAUUGCUAGUAGAUGAGGCUAUUCAUGUUAAAAUUAUAUCGACAAUAAAGAAAAGAAAUAUGAGAAGAAAAGUAAAAAAAUGAGAACACAAGGAUUUAACGUGGAAAAACCCUUUCGGGAAAAAACCACGGGAACAACCGAUGAUAUCACUAUAUGGUAAAAUAUGAGGAUAUUACAAGAGUAUUUA
rnacentral:lncRNA from 1 species